UACGUAGGGUGCAAGCGUUGUCCGGAAUUAUUGGGCGUAAAGAGCUCGUAGGCGGUCUGUCGCGUCUGCUGUGAAAACUCGGGCUUAACCCCGGGCCUGCAGUGGGUACGGGCAGACUAGAGUGCGGUAGGGGAGACUGGAAUUCCUGGUGUAGCGGUGAAAUGCGCAGAUAUCAGGAGGAACACCGAUGGCGAAGGCAGGUCACUGGGCCGCAACUGACGCUGAGGAGCGAAGCAUGGGGAGCGAACAGG
rnacentral:rRNA from 1 species